rnacentral:rRNA from 1 species
CCUCUUUUGCCGGGGAGCAACGGGCGCCACGUGUGGUGCUGUGAGCGUACCCGGAGAAAAAGCAUCGGCUAACUCCGUGCCAGCAGCCGCGGUAAUACGGAGGAUGCGAGCGUUAUCCGGAUUUAUUGGGUUUAAAGGGUGCGUAGGCGGCGCCCCAAGUCAGCGGUAAAAAUGCGGUGCUCAACGCCGUACAGCCGUUGAAACUGGGGGGCUCGAGUGCGCCAGGAGCAUGCGGAAUGCGCAGUGUAGCGGUGAAAUGCAUAGAUAUUGCGCAGAACUCCGAUCGCGAAGGCAGCAUGCUAUGGCGGGACUGACGCUGAGGCACGAAAGCGUGGGGAUCGAACAGGAUUAGAUACCCUGGUAGUCCACGCAGUAAACGAUGAGCACUGACUGUGCGGGGCGAACGGGCCCUGCGCGGUAAAGCGAAAGCGUUAAGUGCUCCACCUGGGGAGUACGCCGGCAACGGUGAAACUCAAAGGAAUUGACGGGGGCCCGCACAAGCGGAGGAACAUGUGGUUUAAUUCGAUGAUACGCGAGGAACCUUACCCGGGCUCAAACGACAGGGGAACCGUCGGGAAACCGGCGGGCCGGCAACGGCCGCUGUCGAGGUGCUGCAUGGUUGUCGUCAGCUCGUGCCGUGAGGUGUCGGCUUAAGUGCCAUAACGAGCGCAACCCCCAUCUCCGUUGCUAGCGGGUAAAGCCGAGGACUCUGGAGAGACUGCCGGCGCCUGCAGGAAGGGGGGAUGACGUCAAAUCACACGGCCCUUACGUCCGGGGCGACACACGUGUUACAAUGGCGGGGACAGCGAUGCUUCCGGGCGACGGUGGCGACCCUGAAAACCCUCUCAUUCG